GCGGCCGUCGUCUAGCCCGGUAGGACGUCGGCCUCCCGAGCCGUUGACCCGGGUUCAAAUCCCGGCGGCCGCA
rnacentral:tRNA from 2 species